GAUGGCGAGGAAAGUGAACAAGUCGGAGGGGAGGAGGAGGGGAGCUGAGAGCAGAGAGAGAGAAAGACGGACACAUGAGGACUGACCCUUAAAUUGGCAGAUCUAUAGUAAGGCUCAUUGCAAUAGGCAAAGCUAUGAAAGAACAAGCCAGGAAGGAGCAAAACAGCUGGAGAUAGACAGAGGAACUAGUGUAAAACUCUUAGAAAUAUCCAAAGCAAGGCGCCUAAAGGGAAGUAAAGUGAGCUAGGAGAGGGAAUUCAAAGUCGCAUGCCACCAAAGGUAGGGAGGGGAGGUCUAAGAGAUGAUGCAGGUGAGACAAGGGGGAACUCCCUUGCAUCACAUAUACACACAGAGUGAUCUUUAACUGGCUGAGAGAAUCUUCCAGGCCCCAAAAGCUGGCCACCCACUGAGAGCCAUUUCCGACUACACCAGCUGCAGCUUCCUCGCCGGACGCUCCUCGUAGACUAAAAAUGCCCCAUGGAGAAACUGCCUGCAGAAUGAACCCCCGUUUGGGGCAUGGAGCGAUGCAGGGACCAAGCCUGGGGAAGAGGAGGAAGACACUUGCAACAUUCCCAGUGAAGGGAAAGGUGCCAUGAAGCGGACUCAGGCCGCGGUGGAAACAGCUGGAGCUGCGCGUGCUCACAUGGAUACGGGGCUGCACCCUGCUCUGGCUGGUCAAACGGAACCAAGUCCGUCUUCCUUGAAGGUUUGGUCCCCUUCAACCAGCUACAGCAGUGCUGAAAUCGUCCAGCUGUUGGAGGAAGAUACUCUCUGCCUAUCAACUCACCCACAUGGGACUUUCCUCCGGUGUUUGAUGCUAGUCAGCAUGUUCCACAUACAGUACACAUGGGAGGAGGGUGCUGAUCCUUAUGGGCCAUGUCUUAAGUACACGUGCUGAGCUAGAUACUCAAGUUUAUCUGAGCAAUACUCAAAGCACCUUGCCAAGAAAGCAGUGGCUUUGGAUGGCUUUCUGCCCCCUUUCCCAAUUCUGGGUGGGAAACGGGGGGCUACUUUAACCCACAGCACAAGUGAGAGCAACCUUAAGGCUGUUCUCACUUGCUGUGGCUCAGGAUCACUGAACGCCAACUAUGCCCUUCCAUCUUCUGGCAUGUCAGCAGAAUGCCCCUAUAUACUAUGUGAACCAAGAUCAGCUGGUGUUGUGCUAGCACACUCCUACACAAGAGUAAUUCUCAGUGUCCCAGGGGGGUUUCAGACCCACGGAGCCCACUACAUACUUUCAGUCUGCCUGACUUAUUUUAUAUUUACAGA